rnacentral:rRNA from 1 species
GACGAACGCUGGCGGCGUGCCUAAUACAUGCAAGUUGAGCGAUGAAGAUUGGUGCUUGCACCAAUUUGAAGAGCAGCGAACGGGUGAGUAACGCGUGGGGAAUCUGCCUUUGAGCGGGGGACAACAUUUGGAAACGAAUGCUAAUACCGCAUAACAACUUUAAACAUAAGUUUUAAGUUUGAAAGAUGCAAUUGCAUCACUCAAAGAUGAUCCCGCGUUGUAUUAGCUAGUUGGUGAGGUAAAGGCUCACCAAGGCGAUGAUACAUAGCCGACCUGAGAGGGUGAUCGGCCACAUUGGGACUGAGACACGGCCCAAACGCCUACGGGAGGCAGCAGUAGGGAAUCUUCGGCAAUGGACGAAAGUCUGACCGAGCAACGCCGCGUGAGUGAAGAAGGGUUUCGGAUCGGAAAACUCUGUUGGUAGAGAAGAACGUUGGUGAGAGUGGAAAGCUCAUCAAGUGACGGUAACUACCCAGAAAGGGACGGCUAACUACGUG